rnacentral:rRNA from 1 species
UACAGAGGUGGCAAGCGUUGUUCGGAAUUAUUGGGCGUAAAGGGCGCGUAGGCGGCCUUGCAAGUGACGGGUGAAACCCCUCGGCUUAACCGAGGAACUGCCCGUCAGACUGUUUGGCUUGAGACCGGGAGAGGUGAGUGGAAUUCCCAGUGUAGCGGUGAAAUGCGUAGAUAUUGGGAGGAACACCAGUGGCGAAGGCGGCUCACUGGACCGGUACUGACGCUGAGGCGCGAAAGCGUGGGUAGCAAACAGG